AUGUCAUACUUUGUGAGAUUACUUUACUUGGAUCCUAAAAUAGUAAAAAACUUUAAAUUAUAGAAGUGAUCUAAUACUGGGGCUCCAGGAGAAGGGGUUCAAUGUUUCACAUAGAAAGAUAGGAGGGAACAUGUUUAAAAAUCUUAUGGAGGAGAACUAAUGCUUCAAUUUGUGAGAUUACUAUGCAAGCAUUCUCAAAUUGUAAAGUUUCUAAAUUGUGGAAGCCGUAAUCCCCAGACUAAUAUUGGGGCCCAAGAAGGGGUUCAAAAUUAACAUAGAAAUAUAUAGGGAACAUGUUUAAAAAUCUUUUUCUCAAGAACUACAGUGCAACAAUUUGUAAGAUUACUAUGCAAGCAUAAUUGGCUAUUGUAGAUUCUAAAUUGAUAAAAUCGUGACACCCGGACUAAUACUGGGGCCCCAAGACCCCCAGACCAAUACUGAGGCCCCAAGUGGGGUUCAAAGUUUAACAUAGAAAUAUAUAUGGUUUGUGAGAUUACAAUGCAAGGAUCCUCAAAUAGUGAAGUUGUUAAAGCCAACCAUAAACCCCGGACCAAUACUGGGGCCCCAGAAAGGGGUUCAAAGUUUAAAAUAGAAAUAGCAUAUGCUAUGAAAUAGAAUGUUACAAGGAACUGUAGUUCAGGUGAGCGAUGUGGCCCAUGGGCCUCUUGUUUUAUUUACGUGUAUAUGUGAUUGUGUUUACUUGGAUUUUAUACUGUGAAUUAUUUGUUCGGAGUGUUUAUAUUUGUGUAAAUAAACGAUAGACUAG
rnacentral:sRNA from 1 species